rnacentral:rRNA from 1 species
CGCAGCCGCGGUAAUUCCAGCUCCAAUAGCGUAUAUUAAAGUUGUUGCAGUUAAAAAGCGCGUAGUUGAAUUUCGGGAUCAAUAUUUCGGUCAUGCCGUUGGUAUGCACUGUUAUCAUUGAUUUCUCACCUUCUAAAGAACCGUAAUGCCAUUAAUUUGGUGUUACGGGGAAUUAGGACUGUUACCUUGAAAAAUUAGAGUGUUUAAAGCAGGCCCACGCUUGAAUACAUUAGCAUGGAAUAAUGAAAUAGGACAUCCGAUUCUAUUUUGUUGGUUUCUAGGAUUGAUGUAAUGAUUAAUAGGGAUAGUUGGGGGCAUUAGUAUUCAAUUGUCAGAGGUGAAAUUCUUGGAUUUAUUGAAGACUAACUACUGCGAAAGCAUUUGCCAAGGAUGUUUUCAUUAAUCAAGAACGAAAGUUAGGGGAUCGAAGACGAUCAGAUACCGUCGUAGUCUUAACCAUAAACUAUGCCGACUAGGGAUCGGAUGAUGUUAAUUUUUAAUGACUCA